AGUAGCGGUGAAAUGCGUAGAUAUCUGGAGGAAUACCAAGGGCGAAGGCAGUCCCCUGGUCCGAUACUGACACUGAGGUACGAAAGCGUGGGGAGCAAACAGGAUUAGAUACCCUGGUGGUCCACGCCCUAAACGAUGUCGAUUAGCCAUUGGAAGGACCCCUUUUCCUUUCAGUGACGUAGCUAACGCGUUAAAUCGACCGCCUGGGAAGUACGACCGCAAGGUUAAAACUCAAAGGAAUUGACGGGGACCUGAACAAGCGGUGAAUGAUGUGGAUUAAUUCGAUGCUACGCGAAGAACCUUACCUACCUUUGACAUGGCCAAAGUUCUACCGAGAGGCGGAAGUACUCGUAAGAGGAUUGGCGCACAGGUGCUGCAUGGUUGUCGUCAGUUCGUGUCGUGAGAUGUUGGGUUCAGUCCCGCAACGAACGCAACCCUUAUCUUUAAUUGCUCCUAUUUUAACAGGCACUUUAAAGAAACUGCCAAUGAUAAGUUGGAGGAAGGUGGGGAUCACGUCAAGUCCGCAUGGCCUUUAUAGGUAGGGCUUCACACGUCAUACAAUGGUUAGAACAAAGAGCUGCAAAUUCGUAAGAAGGAGCCAAUCUCACAAACCUAACCUCAGUUCGAAUUGCGGUCUGCAACUCGAGCGCAUGAAGCCGGAAUCGCUAGUAAUCGUGGAUCAGAAUGCCA
rnacentral:rRNA from 1 species